CCUACGGGAGGCAGCAGUGAGGAAUAUUGGUCAAUGGCCGAGAGGCUGAACCAGCCAAGUCGCGUGAGGGAAGACGGCCCUACGGGUUGUAAACUUCUUUUGUCGGGGAGCAAAGCGAACCACGUGUGGUUCAUUGAGAGUACCCUAAGAAAAAGCAUCGGCUAACUCCGUGCCAGCAGCCGCGGUAAUACGGAGGCUGCGAGCGUUAUCCGGAUUUAUUGGGUUUAAAGGGAGCGCAGGCGGAGGUGCAAGUCAGCGGUAAAAUUGCGGGGCUCAACCCCGUACUGCCGUUGAAACUGCAUCCCUUGAGUGCGCGAGAGGUAUGCGGAAUGCGUGGUGUAGCGGUGAAAUGCAUAGAUAUCACGCAGAACUCCGAUUGCGAAGGCAGCAUACCGGCGCGCAACUGACGCUCAUGCACGAAAGCGUGGGUAUCGAACAGGAUUAGAUACCCGGGUAGUC
rnacentral:rRNA from 1 species